UCCGACGGCGCACGCACAGCCCGGCUCUCGCUGGGGAGGGUGGCCCCUGAGCCGGCGCUCUCCCGGACCCUUGACGGCCACGAACGCGCUUCUUCCGGGGAGCCUCCCGGCGCUCCCUCGCACAAACGCCCGACCGGCCUUGUCGUGUAAUGUACACCUGCCUCACGCACGCUACGGCCCUCACCGUCCAGGCUGGCCUUCCUCUCCUCCCCACCCUCCUGUGCACACAUUACUCGGUCGUCGUGCUUCAUUGAAAGCAGAAGAACGAGUUAGUCCCGACUAACUGAACUGUCGCGGCUUUUGGAAAAAAAUGGAGAAAAAUCCCAGCCAUUCAUCCUUUGAGAGCACCUGCUGGACAGCUCCCUUAUCUAUGAGUGUUUUCAGUUCCUCUAGCAACUCAGGCCAAGGAAUGUUAUUGGUCCUACUAAGAAAAUGCAAAAAUAGUGAUGAGUGAAAAAAGAAUGCACGCUGACUCACGGAGUCUCUACCAAUGCUACAGUAGCCCUCUCUUGCCAGCGAUGAAAGACGAACUGAGGGCAGAGAAUGCUGUGCCUCCCUGACUAUAGGCUGUUUCAGUGGGAAAACAGCCACGUCUGUGCUCUGGGAGGCGUCGAGCACCUUCUAGUGACUUUAAAGCUACAAAAAAUCUCUGGUCAGCAGGCCUGCAUAUAUACAGUCCCAUUUGGGACUGCAGAGAAGACCGACAAUGAACAUUGUUCUUUUCUGGAAACUGAAAUGAAGCCUAGAUACUGAUAUAUGCUUGCAUGUUCCAAAGUCAUGUCUUGUAGGUUACUAAGAUCUAAGUUGUCCAACAUAAUUUACCACCUGAACUAUAACAAAGGAAACCUUUCUGCUUUGCAAACUGCAAUUUGUCUCCUUGUAGAAGCAAACAUUUUUUUAAAAACAACAAAGAGUAAAGGGAUGAACAUCCUGCUAUUUGGGCUCAGUCAACCUGACACAACAACUGUGCAAAUUAGAGUUAUUCUGCCAUUUCCAGGAGCUGUGACACAAAUGCUUCUCAUAGCAGAUGUUUAACUCAAGUCUAUAUCAGAAAAAGAGUAUGCAUGCUCCAAACAAUUACUUUACUUUAGGCACAGGGAAUAUGAAAAGAGCACCAACAAUGAAAAGACUAGCAUUCUCAGCUGUAAUACUGGAGGGUAUACAAGGUGUCAGCAGUUAAUUAUUAACAUAAUUUUUGUACCUUGGCAAAAUAGGAAGCAAAUUGGUUCUUAAUAAUGCCUCACCUUCAUGU